UACGAAGGGGGGCUAGCGUUGUUCGGAAUCACUGGGCGUAAAGCGCACUAGGCGGAUCCUUAAGUCAGGGGUGAAAUCCCAGGCUCAACCUCGGAACUGCCUUUGAUACUGGGGAUCUUGAGUCCGGGAGAGGUGAGUGGAAUUGCGAGUGUAGAGGUGAAAUUCGUAGAUAUUCGCAAGAACACCAGUGGCGAAGGCGGCUCACUGGCCCGGUACUGACGCUGAGGGUGCGAAAAGCGUGGGGGAGCAAAACAGG
rnacentral:rRNA from 1 species